UCCUGGAUUUCUGAAUAAGUAACAUUGUAACAUCACAGUUGACACCGUCACUGUCCAUGAUUUUCCUUUUUAGACAUCAUCAUCAUCAUCAUCACCAUCGCCAAAACCAGGAUCAAUGGCUUUCAGAAAGGCAGUGAAGGGAACCCUAAUAGGGGGCGGAGCUAUAGCAACAGCCUUCGGCCUAUCACAGUUCUUUGAAUACAGGAAGAAUCAGUGACUCCUACAGGUUAGACUGCAGAAUACACAGACCACAGCUGUUCAAACCCAUCUGUACCACAGCAUGUCUUGUCCUGAUUCAGGAAUGUUCCCUAUGUGUUCAUACAACCUUAAAGGUACCGCCUUAUUCAGGACAGUAUAACUCUGGCCCCAUAUUUUGAUCUUAAAGCAAUGAUCAAUUUAUAGCUAUUUAUAACUAUUCCUUAUUUAUAAUUCAUAAAGGUUUAUUCUUGUUUUCAUGUGGUCAACAAACGUAUGGGACAGAUUUCUUGAAUGAGUGCUACAAAUCUUAUUAAGAUUAGACUUAUAAAUCCAGAUACAUUGGAAAACCUCAUUUGCACCUUUAGGUACUGUCUCAAGUCUCCAAACUUACCCCGUUCUCUCUCUAGGGUAGACCACCGUAUUAAAAUCAGGUUUUGUUUGCUAAAGGGAGAUUACACUUGAACAGUGAUACACACAUUGUUUAAAGGAUCUCUCUUGAAUAUGUAAUCAUGAACAAUCUGAAUCCCAUUCACGCCAUCAGGGAGUGUGUCACACACCAUGUUCUGUCCGUAUUUAAACUAGUAAGAACCUCAGGGGUCUCGUCUGUUUAGAUGCUAUACCAAAUAACGGAAGGUCAAGUAGAUUAAGAUAAUCAACAAGGCUUUCUGAAACAAUUGAAGAAAAAAAGACAGACCCUUGAAGAGCAAUGGGAGUCCUGAUUUUCUCUCUCAUCAUUUAUUUAAAUCUUCCCAAGCCCAUUUUGUCCAUUAUCUUGCAUCUCAACUGUUCCAAUCCCAAUGAAACUCCAGGGAGUGAGAGAAUUGUACGCACUCAAGGACAUGGUUUCCAUGGAGAUUGUCACUACACGAUUAAUUUGUCAAAAAAA